UGGCUCAUCUACGCCUCUGCCACAGCAACCCUGGGAGGCGAAUCUUGGCAUGGAAAAAGUGAGGCUCAGGAAGAUUGCGUGACUUACCCAAGGUCACGUGGCCUGUAGGCAACUGAACCAGUCCUUGAAUUCAGAGCUGCCUGAAUCAAGCUCCCACAUUUUCAACAUGUGACCACACUCCUCCAAGCUGAGGGCGUUUCUGCUUGCAAACUGGUGUUUUUCUGGAAGAACAAAGAAGGCCAUCCCAGAAAAAUCUGCCUAAUAAUGAAAAAACCACCCUUUCCAUAUAGGUGCACAGAGAAAAGGCUGAGUGAGGACACAGCAAGAAGGCGGCCCUGCGCACACCAGGAAGAGAGGCCUCACCUGAAACCAACCCUGAGGGCACCUGUAGGGCCUGCAGACCUGUAAAAAGACCAAUGUCUGUUUAAGCCACCCAGCUUGUGGCAUUUUGUUAUGCAGUCUGAGCAUAUUAAUAUGGUUUUUUUUUUUCAGAGAUCCUCAAAGCUCGCAUUCCAACAUAACACAGGAGUGAAAGCACAAGCUUUGAAGUCAGAAAGGACUAAGUUCUCAACCUGGCUUCCCAUUCAGCAGGACCUUGGCUUUCAUCUCUAGGAUCCUGUUUCAUAAGAUUGAUAUGAAAAUUAACUGAAGCAAUGCAUAGGAAAUGCUUGUCGUGGUAUGUGGAACAUGCGUCAGGACCCCUCUGUAGAUGUGGGCAGCCCACCCUAAGGGAAGAAUUAUGGGAAAGGGCUGCAAGAUACCAGAGGUGGGCCAGGCUAUAAAGUCCUAGGAUCAAGUUUAAAU
rnacentral:lncRNA from 1 species